rnacentral:rRNA from 1 species
UUGAGUCCCCUGAAGGGCCGUCGAAGACUACGACGUUGAUAGGUCGGGUGUGUAAGCGCUGUGAGGCGUUGAGCUAACCGAUACUAAUUGCCCGUGAGGCUUGACCAU